GACGAACCGUGCGAACGUUGUUCGGAAUCACUGGGCUUAAAGGGCGCGUAGGCGGGCCUCCAAGUCCGGGGUGAAAUCCUCCAGCCUAACUGGAGAAGAGCCUCGGAGACUGGGGGCCUCGAGGGAGGUAGGGGCGUGCGGAACUAUGGGUGGAGCGGUGAAAUGCAUUGAUAUCCAUAGGAACUCCGGUGGCGAAGGCGGCGUGCUGGACCCCUUCUGACGCUGAGGCGCGAAAGCCAGGGGAGCGAACGGG
rnacentral:rRNA from 1 species